UACAGAGGGUGCAAGCGUUGUUCGGACUCAUUGGGCGUAAAGGGCGUGUAGGCGGUUUGCUAAGUCAUGUGUGAAAGCCCUCGGCUUAACCGAGGAACGACGCAUGAAACUGGCAAGCUAGAGUACCAAAGAGGGGGGUGGAAUUCCCGGUGUAGCGGUGAAAUGCGCAGAUAUCAGGAGGAACACCUAUUGCGAAGGCAGCUCGCUGGGACGUAACUGACGCUGAGACGCGAAAGCGUGGGGAGCAAACAGG
rnacentral:rRNA from 1 species